UAGUUAGUGGGCGCCGGGCCAAUGGGGGUGCGAGUUGAGUGUCACGUGGGACAGUGAGCCUACGAUUUUGUCAUUCGUGUGGUCGUUGGUGUGGUUUGCUCUGUCAUCCAAAAAACAAUUCUGGUGCAUUUAAAUCGGAUUACCGUCGUGAUCGCGGUGCAUCAAAAGUUUGUGUAUCUGUGAGUGUUUGCGCGUCCGCCUCUCUCAUCCACGUGCAUUUUCCGUUGCCCGUGUCAACGACAUAAGUCUGCUUCCCCCCAGACUUCUCCAGACGUAGCAUGGUUCCAAAGUGGAAGCGUGUACGAAAGGUAAUUAUUUUCCGUUU